rnacentral:rRNA from 1 species
GAAAGAUUCAUCGGAAGAGGAUGGGCAUGCGGCGCAUUAGCUAGACGGCGGGGUAACGGCCCACCGUGGCGACGAUGCGUAGGGGUUCUGAGAGGAAGGUCCCCCACACUGGUACUGAGACACGGACCAGACUCCUACGGGAGGCAGCAGUGAGGAAUAUUGGUCGAUGGGAGAGAUCCUGAACCAGCCAAGCCGCGUGAGGGAAGACGGCCCUAUGGGUUGUAAACCUCUUUUGUCGGAGAACAAAACCCGGGACGUGUCCCGGACUGCGUGUAUCCGAAGAAAAAGCAUCGGCUAACUCCGUGCCAGCAGCCGCGGUAAUACGGAGGAUGCGAGCGCUAUCCGGAUUUAUUGGGUUUAAAGGGUGCGUAGGCGGUCCGUUAAGUCAGCGGUAAAAUUGCGGGGCUCAACCCCGUCGAGCCGUUGAAACUGGCAGACUUGAGUUGGCGAGAAGUACGCGGAAUGCGCGGUGUAGCGGUGAAAUGCAUAGAUAUCGCGCAGAACUCCGAUUGCGAAGGCAGCGUACCGGCGCCAGACUGACGCUGAGGCACGAAAGCGUGGGGAUCGAACAGGAUUAGAUACCCUGGUAGUCCACGCAGUAAACGAUGAAUGCUGGUUGUCCGGGUCGAAUGAGAUCUGG